GAGCGGCAGCGGCCCAGGCCCAGAGCUGAGGGACCGUAGGUGUGUCUUGCCCAGACUCAGCCUUCCUUGCCAGGAGAUGCCCUGGCGCCAGUGGGAGUGGGUAGAGGUUUCCUCCAGGCAUGGAAGUGGCCCAAGCGCUGGGAGCUCACCUCUGUGUCACCCAUUGCUGGCUUUCCUUUGCCAGGGGCCACCCCCUAUGGCAAGGGCUGGAUGUGUGUACAGAGAAGUCUCACCUGGUCCCUUACUAGAUGCACCCCCUCUGGCCUGCAACCUGGAGGCUUUUUGUCUUAGACCAGCAAUGCUACCAAGCCAACUAGGACAGGGAGCGGAGACUUAGCCUCUCUCAGAGAAGCAGCGGGAUAAAUUUAGAUGGGCAGAAAGUCAUUAUCCAAAAUAGAAGCUCUCCUCCAGGGAGUUGUGGUGGCCAGAGCUCAGCAGGAGCUCCGUUUUGCAUCUGAAGUUGAAAACGGCAUCAUCGCCGCAGCCUACUCGAGCCUGGGCCUUGAUUCAGUGUAGAUUUGGAGGGAGGAAAACCAGCCAUUAAGUCUCUAAACUGGCUUCCCGAAUGUGCAACUUAACCAAUGCCCAAGGAGAAGACAAGAGAACAGCUGGGCCUGAGGCUGUGGAGGACUCAGAGCGGGAGUGCUAUAUUCUGUGCAAGGUACACAACACACACUCAACGAUUCCAAAUGCCCGGAGAUGAGGAUGCCAAGAUUCACCGUGUGAGUAUGUUUUCCCA